GUAGUUUUGUACCACUCAAAAUGGCGCUUUUGGAUCUUAGCGGUAGGGAAAAAAACCAGCAUAUCGGAUUGGAUUAGGAAACAAUGUUGCUGAGACGUUGCAUCACUUCAUGAGGAGCCUAUGAUAUAGCAGAUGAAUAAUCUCCUUGUCUUCUAACUUUCUAAGGAUAAACACACCGCCUAAUUGGUGCGUUCGAACUAGAAGGCAAUACUAGUCACCAGAUCUGAUAAUUUUGUUGCAAAAAUAGUUUAAUCUCUA